AUUGAACGCUGGCGGCAGGCCUAACACAUGCAAGUCGAGCGGAUGAAGGGAGCUUGCUCCUGGAUUCAGCGGCGGACGGGGGAGUAAUGCCUAGGAAUCUGCCUGGUAGUGGGGGGUAACGUCCGGAAACGGGCGCUAAUACCGCAUACGUCCUGAGGGAGAAAGUGGGGGAGCUUCGGACCUCACGCUAUCAGAUGAGCCUAGGUCGGAUUAGCUAGUUGGUGGGGUGAAGGCCUACCAAGCCGGGGAUCCGUAACUGGACUGAGAGGAGGAUCAGUCACCCUGGAACGUGAACGCGGACCAGACGACUACGGGAGGCAGCAGUGGGGAAUGUUAGACAGUGGGCGAGAGCCUGAUCCAGCGGUGCGGCGUGUGUGAAGAAGGUCUUCGGAUUGUAAAGCACGUUAAGUUGGGGGGAAGGGCAGUAGGUUAAUACCUUGCGGUUUUGACGGUACCAGCAGAAUAAGCACCGGCUAACUUCGUG
rnacentral:rRNA from 1 species